rnacentral:misc_RNA from 1 species
UUCACACACGCCCAAUGUGGUGUUGUGAAGUAAUUUGGUGUUUCACACACGCCCAGUGUGGUGUUGUGAUAUAAUUUGAUAUAUUCAUGUAUAAGAGUAGUACUGUGAUGUGUUCUGGUGAGAGGUUCAGAAGUCUAGUGACUGGAGGAUCAGAGGAUGCAACUAAAUAACAGUUUUGGAGAAAGACAUUGUAAUAUGACAGAUUGUUGUUUAUGUUUGUUAACAAAUAUUUAAUGCACCCGAGGACGGGUGAUUGUCAGGAUGGCCGUGUCGGAGAUGCAGACACAUCGAGCCUUUCUUUUGGAAGAUUUCUCAAUACUUGGGCUCGGGGUGACAUAACUGGUCGCCGAACGUAGCCACGGUCACGGGAUGA